GCUCAGGUGGUGGAACGGCAGACACGCCACGUUCAGGUCGUGGUGCCCGCAAGGGCGUGAGGGUUCAAAUCCCUCCCUGAGUACCA
rnacentral:tRNA from 5 species